AUUGAACGCUGGCGGCAGGCCUAACACAUGCUAGUCGAGCGAGCGGCGGACGGGUGAGUAAUGUUUGGGGACUGCUAGAUAGAGGGGGAUAACUCCUGGAAACGGUAGCUAAUACCGCAUACCAUCGGAUAACCCAUAUGGGAUUAGCUAGUAGGGGAGGUAAUGGCUCACCUAGGCGACGAUCCCUAGCGGGUCUGAGAGGAUGAGCAGCAACGCUGGGACUGAGAGACGGCACAGUGUCCGACGGAAGCAGCAGUGGGGAAUGUUGAACAGUGGGGGCAAGCCUGUGGCAGCCAUGCCGCGUGUAUGAAGAGGGCCGUAGGGUUGUAGAGUACUUUCAGUCGGGAGGCGUUCCCGACAGAAGAAGCACCGGCUAACUGCGUGCCAGCAGCCGCGUAAUAC
rnacentral:rRNA from 1 species